UCUAAUCUUCAAUUGCUUGGUGUUAAUCUUCUUGAAUUUCUCUUUUGAAUCUCCCUUCUUGUUUGUCUUCUCUCCAAUAUAUCAAGAACCCUUCAAAAGUAUGAGGAAGAUGUAUUUAUAGGUGCCCCUCCAUUUUAUGUAGAAGUAGGGUUUUUAUGGAUUUAAAAACGGCCCAAAAAACGCGCCCUAGAUCUUCAAUCGCAGCGUCUAGGCACUGCCUCUCGGGUCCAAAUUUCAUCUUUUUUCAGUUUCGUAGCAUGAAUGUAGCGCCUAAGAGCCGUCUUUCUGCCCCAAUUCCGUGUUUUUGACCUCUUCGUCCACUUUAAUACUUCUUUUCACAUCGCUUUUCCUAAUCUUCAAAACAACACUAACAAACACAUCAAAAAUGUCCUAUACUCACAAGAUCUAGCAUUUAAUCAAGCUAAAAUUUUGCAAAAAUCAUGAGUGAAACAAACUCAUCAAAUACCUCCAAACUUAAUCAUUUACUUGUCCUAGAGCAAACACCAAAACCCAUAAAAUAAUUAAUGGACGCACAAGCACAACUAAGACAAACAAAAUCACUUAAAAUAAAUUUCGCUAGAUAGCUUGCCUUCAUGUCUCAGGAUUAAAAACAUAACUUCGAUUUCAUGAACCACUUCAAAACUAUAAUGCAAAAGCUAAAUUCUCACAGAUUCAAUGCAAAACGAGUGUGUGUGUGUGUGUGUGUGUGUGUGGAGAGUCAAGUGCAACGCUGUAAAAUAAUAAGUUGAUCCAAUUCUCGACCUUAGAAGUCAAAUUUUUCCUUACUUUGCUCGUGGGAUUCUCACACCCCAAACUUAUUUUCUUUUCUCUUUCCAAGGGUGUAACCUAAGGUUAAAUUUUCAAUACUAAUUUCUUACACCACUCAAGUUUGGUUAGAUUUUACUGAUUGUAGUUCCACAUGUCAACAAAUGAGGAUUCUCCUUAUUUUUGACUGCUUUAACCUCUAGGAAUCAACUAAGUUACUAACCCCUUAUCAAAGGUCUAAUCCUCUAAAACAAGUAUUCGGGGCUUAAUCAAGGCAUUUGAUAUCUAGUUUUUUUCUCUUUUUUUAUUUUUUUAUUUUUUUCUCAUAUGUAUCUUUAUUCUUUAAUCACUCUUUGUGCAGACUUCUCUCCCUUAAACUUUCUAAAUGACACCUGUAGCGAGUUUUAGGCCGAUGACUCUCAAAUUAUUUGACUUUAGUGCACUAGAUUUUAAACCCUUACAGGCUUAAUCACUCAAGUCAUAAAGGCUACGAAGAGACGAUUCACAAUGAGAUUAUUAAAGUUGUCCUCAUUGGGAUCUUUUUUUUAUGCGGUGAUUAGUGCAAUGCCUCUUAUUAAAUACCUAUCCUCGAAAAUUGACCUCUAACUUAAGGUUUUCACCCAAUUUUCAUUCUAUUGAUCUCAGACAAUUCACACAAAAAUUAACACACAAGAAAUCCACAUUUAUCUCCAAGUUUUCCUACAACAGUGCAAUCAUCCAAACGUCCUAAGUUUGGUUUAAGGGUAUUGUGAUGUUUAAUGGUUGUUUGGGUUUAGCAUCUAAGUUCUCUAUUUCAACCUAUAAAUGUGAAUCAAUCUACUCAUGCACAACGCUACAAUCAACUCACGUGCAAAAAUAAUUUUCGUUUCACAUGAAUAAGUAAAAAUCUAACUCAAACACAUAACUCAUCCACAAUUCAUAAAUCAACGCAUGUUCUCAAUUACACAUAUCAAUACCGGCAAGGUUAUCUAACACACACAAACAUGCAAAAACACGAAAUGAAUUUUUUUUUUCUUUUUGAAUAAAAAUACAAACACAUAAAACAAGCAAAUCACACAUAAGCAUUCGAGAAACUCAACAAUGUAAGCAAAUGAUGUCACUCCCCCAAACUUAACUGAAACAUUGUCCUCAAUGUGAAAUUUAAAGGAAAAGGAGGAGGACUUCCCUGAAAUGUCAGUAUUGCCUAUGAUGUUGUGGUGUCUUGGUGUUGCAUUUGAUCGACUCUUCUUUUACAUUCUCCCUCAAACUUGAGAUUUGUCCCAUUUUUCCAUAUCCAUGUUGGUUUGAGUGUUUCGCGACGUCAUGUUCCUGAAAAUUUAAAUUUGAAAAAUUAAACUCAUGGAACAAGGAUUACUUAGCUCAAACAUCUAAUAACCAACUUAAUUACUCCAAGACCUAUGGGUAGAAGGGGUAUGAGUGACGAUUCCUAAAUAAACUAUAAAUUAAACUAUCCUAGAACUUUGAAAACAAAAUAAAUAAAAUAAAAUGAAAGUUUGGAUUGCCUCCCAAGAAGCGCUUCUUUUAAGUCAUUAGCUUGACUUGUGCCUCUUAUUUGUCAUGGUGGCUCAAACCAAGUUAUUCCAUCAUUGCACUUCGUACAAUUUUCAUUGAUGUAGUCCUUUUUUGCCCUCCAAAUUUUGAUUUGUCCAUUCUUAUCUCUACCAAGAAGUUCUCCAAAAUUUGUUUUUUUGUUCUGAUAGUUUCGUUGAUCAGGUGGCUCUUCUUCAUCAAUUCUACAGCAAUCAUUUUUAUUGGGAGGUUUCUCUUAUUGGAUGUAAAUAUUGAAUAUCUCAUGUUUGUCCUCCACCCUCAAGAUUAGUUCUCCCUUCUUCAUGUCAAUAAGGGUUCGUCCCGUUGCUAAAAAUGGCCAACCUAAUAUAAUUGGAAUGUCUAGAUCUUCUGGUAUGUCCAAUACAACGAAAUCCACAGGAAAUAUUAAAUUUCCUACUUUUACGAGUACGUCCUCAACUUUGCCAUGUGGCCUUGAGAUUGUUUUAUCAACGAGUUGUAGCGUUAUUGAUGUUGAGUUGACUUCACCUAGUCCCAAUUUCCUGUAAGCAGAAUACGACAUUAGAUUGAUACUAGCACCAGUGUCACACAAUGCAUUAGUUGAAUAGAAAUUUCCAAUUGAAACUGGUAAAGUAAAACUCCCUGGAUCCUUCAAUUUAGGAGGCAAUUUUCUCUGGACUCUUGCACUACUUUGCUCAGUUAAUGCCACAGUUUCAAACUCCGGAAGCUUUCUUUUCUUUGUCAACAUCUCUUUCAAAAAUUUCGUAUAGCUUGAAAUUUUUAGUAUCGCAUCAAUGAACGGAACAUUGAUCUGGAGUUUCUUGAGAACAUCGAGGAAUUUUUCAUAAUUUGUGUCUUGUUUGUUCUUCUUGAGCUUUGAGGAAAAGGAAUGGGAGGCAUGUCAACUUUGUCUAGACUUGGUGCUUUGGCAGUUGAUGUUUCUGUACUUUCUCUAUUUUUAGUUGCGUUUGGUGCAGAUUUUUCUACCCUUGUAGCUUCAUCAAUCACUUCUUGGUCAUCUUUUCUUUUGGGUCUCUCUGUAGUGAUCUCCGGCUCUUGUACCUUGCUCUUUGUAUUUAUGACAUGAAUAUUUUAUUCCAUCGACUUCUUUCGAAGUCUUUGGGGAAACGGAACUGGAGGUACAUAUGCUUUCACUUUUAAGGGAGCACUGGGUAGAUCGUUCUCCAUUACUUUAAUUGCCAUCAACUGUUCCUUAGAAUUUAUCAUUGUAUUGCCUAACAAUGUACCUUGUGGAUGUUCUGCAAGUUGUUGUGCUAUCUGAUCAAUUUGCGUCUCCAAUUUCUUGAUGGAUGCUUGCUGAUUUUGAAAGUUCGUGUCAAUUUUCAGGAACACCUUGUUCGUCUUUUGCACAUAUUGUUGAAACAUUUCCCCCAAACUUGGUCUUCUUUCUUGCUGAAAAUUGUUACCAUAUGAAUUGAAAUUACGGGAGCUAUUUUGAAUAAAGUUUACUUGUUCCUCUGAAGAAGUGAGCAUCAUGCAGCUCUUUGUAGCGUGAUUUCUCCCACAAUUCUCACAUGCUGAACUGGCCAUCAUUGCAGUUGCUCCAUGUGUUUGCAAUUUUACAAGUAACUCUACCUGUUUUAUUAAAGCUGCUAUCUGUGUAUUAGUAGAUGUUGUGCUUUCUAAUUCACACGUUCCUGUUGCCUUUGGUGGUACCACUCUUUCUGAUGAGAACAUUGAAUGUGUGGUGGCAAUUAACUCAAAUAGGUCCAUGGUUUGUUGCACUGAUUUUCCUAUGAUUGAUCCUCCAGCAGAGGCAUCAACUUGAGAUUUUGACAAUGGUGUAAGUCUGGUGUAGAAGUAUUGCACUUGGUUUCCUUGAGUGAUUCCAUGGUUUGGACAUUUUCUCAUUAGCUCAUUAAAUCUAUUCCAUGCCUCGUGAUAACUUUCUCCCUCUUUCUGUUGAAAAGUUUGAAUUUCCAAUCCGAUUUUAGCUUCUCUGGCUGGUGGGAAGAAUUUGUUGUGGAAUUUCCUGAUCAAUUCUUCCCAUGUAGUAAUGCUGGCAUGAGGCUCCGCAUCUAACCACUCCAAUGCAGCAUCUCUCAAUGUAAAUGAAAAUAGUCAUAAUUUAAUAGCAUCUUCAUUGACCCCUGGAGCAUGGAAGUUCUGACAAUUUCUGAGAAAUCUGGAGAUAUGUGUGUUCGGAUUCUUAUGAGGUAGCCCAUAGAAUUGCAGAGUGUUGCUCAUCAAGUUAAUCCAAUCUGGCCUGAUCUGAAAGUUAUUCACCCCAAAAUCUGGAUACACAAUACUGGAGCGCAUGUGUACUGCUAUAAGUGUCGGGAACAUUGAUACUGACAAAUCACACUUAUUUAUUUCCCCUCGCUCAUACUGUUGUUCUGAUGGUACCACUCUUGCAGCCAUUUGUCCAAUCGGCUGAAUAGGGAUAUGGAUUUGUUGAUUGUUAGCCAUUUGACGUUGCUACUUUUGUUUGUGUUCUUUGCGUCUUCGUCUGAAGGUACGUUCUAUCUCCAAAUCAAACGAUUCAAGAUCAUCGCUUUGGG
rnacentral:lncRNA from 1 species